GACGAACGCUGGCGGCGUGCUUAACACAUGCAAGUCGAACGGUGAAGCGCCUUCCUUUUUGGUGGGCGUGGAUGAGUGGCGAACGGGUGAGUAACACGUGAGUAACCUGCCCCCUUCUUCUGGAUAACCGCAUGAAAGUGUGGCUAAUACGGGAUAUUCUGGGUCUGUCGCAUGAUGGGUCUGGGAAAGAUAUUGUUUCGGUGGGGGAUGGGCUCGCGGCCUAUCAGCCUGUUGGUGGGGUGAUGGCCUACCAAGGCGGUGACGGGUAGCCGGCCUGAGAGGGUGGACGGUCACACUGGGACUGAGACACGGCCCAGACUCCUACGGGAGGCAGCAGUGGGGAAUAUUGCACAAUGGGCGCAAGCCUGAUGCAGCGACGCCGCGUGAGGGAUGGAGGCCUUCGGGUUGUGAACCUCUUUCGCCAGUGAAGCAGGCCUGCCUCGUUUGUGGGUGGGUUGACGGUAGCUGGAUAAGAAGCGCCGGCUAACUACGUG
rnacentral:rRNA from 1 species